ACACUCCUUGGCAGCAAAUUCCACUGUCGAACAGCUCUUACUGUCAGGAAGUUCUUCCUAAUGUCCAUAUUGAGCUUUUUCAGAGCUUUCGCUUCCAUCGGUGACAGCCACCUUGGGGUUUUAUUUUCCAAUAAAUCCUUAUAUCUUAUCCAAACAUUAAACAAUGCUUUCCUGACAAUAUGGUUUUUAAAUGCUUUAUGUGCUUUGACCUUAUCGUACCACAGAUAUGCAUGCCAUCCAAAUACAUUGUUAAAACCUUCUAAAUCCAAAAUGUCAGUGUUUUCAAGAAGCAGCCAUUCUUUCAACCAGCAAAAAGCUGCUGAUUCAUAAUAAAGUUUGAGGUCUGGCAGGGCAAAUCCACCUCUUUCCUUUGCAUCUGUUAGUAUUUUGAAUUUUAUUCUGGGCUUCUUGCCCUGCCAGACAAAUCUAGAAAUAUCUCUCUGCCACCUCUUGAAACAAUCCAUUUUGGCCACAAUUUGCAAUGUUUGAAACAAAAACAACAUUCUAGGCAAUACAUUCAUUUUAACCGCAGCAAUAUGGCCCAACAGUGAAAGCUUCAAAUUUGACCAAAUUUCUAAAUCUUUUUUCACUUCAGCCCAACAUUUUUCAUAGUUAUCUUUAAAUAAAUUCCCAUUUUUUGCUGUCAAGUUGAUCCCCAAGUAUUUAACUUUCUUAACCACUGUUAAACCUGUCUCAUUCUGAAACCUCUCUCUCUCAAUCGCUGUUAAAUUUUUCUCUAAAACCUUAGUUUUUACCUUAUUCAAUUUAAAUCCUGCAACUUGACCAAAUUCUUGAAUCAAUUCUAAAACCCUUUUGGUACUAGAUUCUGGCUCCUGUAACGUCAGUACUAAGUCAUCUGCAAAUGCUCUCAAUUUGUACUGUUUGGCUCCGACCUGUAUACCUUUAACCAACUGGUCCCUUCUAAUCAUGUUCAGCAAAACCUCCAGGACCGAAAUAAAAAGCAGUGGGGAAAUUGGGCAACCUUGUCGUGUCCCUUUUUCUAUCUUAAAUUCUUCCGUCACCACAUUAUUUACAAUUAAUUUAGCCUUUUGUUCUGAAUAAAUUGCACUUAUACCGUUUUCAAAGCCUUGGCCUACCCCCAUACCCUGUAGGUUCUUCUUCAUAAAACUCCAAGAAAUGUUGUCAAAAGCUUUCUCCGCGUCCACAAAUAUCAAAACUGCUUUAGUAUUUAUGUUCACUUCUAGUUUUUCCAAAAUGUCAAUUAUAUUCCUCAUAUUGUCAGACAAGUGUCUACCCGGGAGAAAGCCCGCUUGAUCUUUAUGAAUCUCUUCCAUCAACACUUUUUUCAGUCUCUUAGCCAAAAUGUCUGCAAAAAUUUUGUAAUCCACAUUAAGUAAUGAUAUGGGACGGUAGUUCUUAAGCUGCGUCUUUUCAGUCUCUGUUUUCGGUACAAGUGUAAUAUAAGCUUCUUUCCACGACUCUGGUGCCCUUUCCCCCUCCAUUAUUUCAUUACAGACCUCUUUCAAGGGUUGUACUAGCCAUUCUUUCAAGGAUCUGUAAUAUCUAGAAGUCAGUCCAUCCGGUCCUGGAGAUUUACCCAAUUGCAUAUUUUGAAUGGCACCUUCUAUCUCCUGUUCAGUUAUUUUAUAGUUCAACAUUAAUUUAUUUUCUUGAGAGAUUUUUUGUAAUCCGUUUGUUUUCAAAAAUCGAUCUACAUCAGUUUCUUUCAGUGGCCCUUGUGUAUAUAAUUGUUUAAAGUACCUCUGGAAACAAUUUCUAAUCUCAGCUGGGUUCUGUAUAUUCCUUACUUCCACUUCUAAAUUUGUAACUGUAUUUAAUUUUUGUCUUUUUUUCAUUUGCCAAGCCAACAAUUUCCCACAUUUAUUAGCCGACUCGAAUGUCUUUUGUCUCAUUUGUUUAAUUUUCCAUUCUAUCUCCUGAUUCAUCAUUUUCAUAUAUUGCACUUGAUAUAACUUUUUCUCUCAGAAUCUCUUGAGACUUUGGUUUUGUUCUCAAUCUUUUUUCACUUUCCUUUAUUUUCUCUAAUAUUUUAUCCUCCUUCUCAUUUUGAAUUCUCUUCUUUAAUGCAUUCUGUUGUAUCAAGAACCCUCUCAUAACCGCUUUACUUGCGUCCCAGAUUACUCUUUUUUCCACAUUGGUGCUCAUAUUUAUCUCAAAAUAGUCUCUCAAGGUUUUUUGGGCCUUCUUAAGCACUUCUUCAUCUCUAAAUAAGGUGUCAUUCAUCCUCCAUCUAAAGGAGCCAGUUGGUGUUAGUUUCAUUUCCAUCUUAACAGCAUUAUGGUCGGAGCAGGUUUUGGGCAGAUUUCCACCUUUCUUGUCUUUGGUGCCAUUCCUCUAGUUACCCAUAUUUGGUCAAUUCUUGUCCAUGUCAUUUUGGCUUCAGAAAAGAAGGUUCCUCUUUAGCCACGGGGUUCCUUGUUCUCCAAAUGUCAACUAAGUCCAAGUUGUCUGUCAUCUCAAAAAAAGUUUUCGGUAGUCUACCAUCCUUAGUGACUACCUGUCUUUGUGCCUUGUCCAUAUGUGUAGAUACCACUCCAUUCAUGUCUCCCUGAUAAUCCUCCAUCUUAAUCACGCAUUUCCUAACUUAAUAUUGCCUUUACAUCUCUUAACAUAUCACGUCUUCUCCAUUUUUGCAAUAUUUCUAAUAUUAUUCCUCACAAAACUUGCAAACCUACAAACGUCGUCUGGUUCUCACAAAUACUUUUCAAAUAAUCCGUAAAUUUACUCCAGUCCUCAGUAAACUUCUGGUCCCGCCAGUUUCGGAUCCUUCCCGUUAGUUUAUCAAGUUCCGCAUAGUCCAUUAAUUUCAUCCUCCAUUCUUCUUUCAUCGGUAAUUCUUCUUGCUUCCAUUUUUGGGCCAAUAGUAUUCUUGCUGCUGUUACUGCAUAUAGAAAAAGCUUACAUUCCUUUCUAUUUAUAUCGUUUACAACAAUACCCAAGAGAAAUGCUUCUGGUUUCUUUAUAAAUGUAUAUUUCAACAUUUUUUUUCAACUCAUUAUAUAUCAUCUCCCAGAAGCAUUUCACCUUUUUACAUUCCCACCACAUGUGAUAAAAUGUUCCCUCUUUUUCCUUACAUUUCCAACAUUUAUUACUGACUUUAUACAUUUUUGCUAACUUCACUGGUGUAAUAUACCAUCUAUACAUCAUUUCAAUCACAUUUUCUUUUAGUGCAUUACAUGCAGUAAAUUUUAAGCCUUCCUUCCAUAAUUUUAUCCAAUCACUCAACUGUAUGUUAUACCCAAAAUCUUUGGCCCAAUGAAUCAUAACCGACUUAACCUCCUCAUCUUUCAAGUGCCAUUCGAGCAGCAAUUUGUACAUUUUGGACAAAAUUUUUAAAUCAUUAUUCAAUAUCUCUUGUUGAAACUUCAAUUCUUUUUCAUAAAAACCUUUUUCUUUAAAGUCUUGUUUAAACAUUUCAUUGACCUGAUAAUAAUGUAACCAAUCAUUAACAUACUCUUUCACUUCUUCAUAGAGCAUGAGGCUCUUAAUCUCAGAGUUGUGGUUCGAGCCCCAUAUUGGGCAAAAGAUUCCUGCCUUGCAGGGGGCUGGACUAGAUGACCCUUUUAAAAUACGCAAAUAAUAAACAAAUUGUUCUUCCGUUCACAAUCUAAUUAACCUAAUUUCAUUGGCUAUUGUAUUUACUAGUUGUUGCCUAUGAAUUCUUACCUAUAUUUUGCCUAUAAGCAGUGUAAACGGUGCUGAACUAGGCUUGCUGGUCUAUAGUGUAUUCUU